AGCCCAGGGAGGCUGAGACUGCAGUGAGUCAUGAUCAGGCCUCUGCACUCCAGCCUGGGUGACAGAGUGAGACCCUGUCUCAAAACAACAAAAAAGUAGCAGCAACAUCAACUGACCUUUUAUACCAGGUGCCUAUUGAUACCAUAGUUUAAUUUCUUAGAACUGUUUCUUAUUUCACUUACCAACUCUGUCUUCAGUUACUCCCAGAUUUUUACUGUGUGUGUACAGAUGACCUUUUGUUUAGAUUGAAUUGUCUCCCCAGAAGUAAGAUUACUGUGAGUCAUGGUGAAUGGACAUUCUCAUUACCCUUGAUGUAAAUUGACAGGGUUUUGGGUGCCUCCCAGCUAUACUCUUAGCACUUUGGGAGGCUAAGAGAGGAGGAUUGCUUGAGGCCAAGAGUUGGAGGAGGCAGUAUGGCAGUAUGGUGAGACCCUGUCUCCAUUAUUUUAAAAAAUUGACAAGCUUUACCCGGAAAGGCUUAUACACAAUGUAAACACCCCUCAUAGUAUAAGAAAGUGCCCAUUUCACUGCACCUUUGCCAGCACAGGGUAUUAUAAUUUAGUAAGUCAUUUUUUGUUUGAUUAUUUUAAAUAGAUAAAAGACCUCAUAUUACUUUACUUGUCACAUUUCAACAUCUUUCCUUAGCUUAUUAGCUCUAUCUCUUUUCUGUCUGUAAAUGGUUGUUGUUGUUUUGUUCUUUGAGACAGGGUCUUGCUCUGUCCCAGGCUGGACUGUAGUGGCAUAAUCAUGCCUCGCUGCAGCCUUGACCUCCCAGGCUCAAACUUCAGCAUUCCGAGUAGCUGGGACUACAAGUGUGCACCACCACUCCCAGCUAACUUUUUUCUUCUUUUGGAUAGAGACAGGUUCUCACUGUGCUGUCCAGACCGGUCUCUAGCUCCUGGCCUUAAGCAAUCCUCCUGCAUUAGCUUCUCAAAUUGCUGGAAUUUCAGGCAUGAGCCACCAUGCCUGGCCUGGGCUAGUCCUGUAUUCUCUAGAGUUCUCUUUACUUUGUGCUAGCCAAUCUCUCAUUAUGCUGUUCACCUGUUAUAAUGAAUAAUUCUCCGUAUUAAAUUUUACCACUUUAAACUUUUGAGUGGUUUAUGCUUCCUGAUUGGACUCUGACUAAUAUGUUAGGAAGGGUCCCAGGAGAUAAACCCACACAGAUGGGAUUUGGGCAUAGGUUUGGUUUCCCAGGGGGCAGUGCUGAGCUCUUUGCCAGUGGGAAAUGGGAUGCUGGUGAUUUCCAGGAAGUGACCUCACAGUGACUCAAGCUACCACUUACUGUUGAUUGUGACAAAAUGCAAGCUGAGGCACAUGCCUUGGGAGCUAAGUGGUUGCUGCCCUUGACCACUAUGAAGACUGGUGUGGGAAGGGUCGCUUUGGAUGCACUUGAGCAGGGGUCCCCAACCCCUGAGCCAUGGAGCCGUAGGGAGCCACACAGCAGGAGGUGGGACCAUCCCGUUUCAGGAAAACAAGCUUAACACGCCCACUGAUUCUACAUUAUGAUUCUUCAGGCCCAGCAUCUGCCUCACUGUGGACCCCCCAAGCCAAGCUCCCAACCUUUCAGCAGCUUCUACACACCCAGCUCCCGCCUGCCAGUGGCCUCUUCAGGCCCAUGGGGCUCAUUCCUCACAACAGCCUUUCCAGUCCCAGUUUUUCCCUUCCGGCGGCCUCUCCGGGCUGAGAACCUCCUCAAGUCGGCCUCUCCAGACUCACUUGCACCCUCCAGGCGUCCUCUCCGGGCCAAGCUCCUCUUCCUGGCUGCGUCUCCAGGCCCGACUCCUGCCUCUCAACAACCUCUUUGGACUCAGUGCCUACCCAUCUCCUGGCGUCCUUGGUCGGCCCACAGCUUCCUCAAGCCAAGCUCCCCAGGCCCAGGUCAGGCCUCACGGUGCCCCCUCCACGAUGAGCUCCUGCCCUCCAAUGGCACCUGCAGGACCCAAAUGGUCUCCGGUCGGUGGGCUCCUCCACGCCAAGCUUGGGCCUCCCGGUGACCUCUGCAGGCCCAAGUUGUCCUGAAGUCGGCAUCUCCCAGCCAUGCCUCCCAGCAAGUAAGCAAGCUCUUUUGGCUCAACUCCUGCCCAGCUCCCAACCGCCUUUGUAGGUCCCGAACUUUCUCCAGCCAAGUUCUUUGGGCCUCAUUCCUGCCGCCCGGUGGCCUGUACGGGCCCAGCAAUGGUUGGAGAACGGCCUCUGCAGGUCCCGCUCUUGCCUCCCAGGGGCCUCUCCAGGCCCAGCUCUUGCCCCCACGGCGGCCACCUGGGGCCAAGUCCCUGCCUGCCUCCCAGCAGCCCACAUGCGGCCCAGCUCCUCCCUCACGGUGGCCUGUUGAUGCCCAUGCCUCUGGUACCCUGCCCAGAGGCAUGAGCCCCUGCCACACACUGGCUCCUCCCACGCUGAGAGAGGUCAGCGUGAGCCCUUGCCUCACACCGGCCCCUCCCAUGCUGAGAGAGGUCAGCGUGAGCCCCUUGCCUGACACUGGCUCCUCCCACGCUGAGAGAGGUCAGCGUGAGCCCUUGCCUCACACCGGCCCCUCCCAUGCUGAGAGAGGUCGGCGUGAGCCCUUGACUCACACCGGCCCCUCCCACGGUGAGAGAGGUCAGCGUCAGCCCCUUGCCUCACACCGGCCCCUCCCACGCUGAGAGAGGUCGGCGUGAGCCCUUGCCUCACACCGGCCCCUCCCACAGUGAGAGAGGUCAGCGUCAGCCCCUUGCCUCACACCGGCCCCUCCCACGCUGAGAGAGGUCGGCGUGAGCCCCUUGCCUCACACCGGCCCCUCCCACGCUGAGAGAGGUCGGCGUGAGCCCUUGCCUCACACCGGCCCCUCCCACGCUGAGAGAGGUCAACAUGAGCCCCUUGCCUCACACCGGCCCCUCCCACGCUGAGAGAGGUCAACAUGAGCCCCUUGCCUCACACCGGCCCCUCCCACGCUGAGAGAGGUCAACAUGAGCCCCUUGCCUCACACCGGCCCCUCCCACGCUGAGAGAGGUCGGCGUGAGCCCUUGCCUCACACCUGCCCCUCCCACGCUGAGAGAAGUCAACAUGAGCCCCUUGCCUCACACCGGCCCCUCCCACGCUGAGAGAGGUCGGCGUGAGCCCCUUGCCUCACACCGGCCCCUCCCAUGCUGAGAGAGGUCAACAUGAGCCCCUUGCCUCACACCGGCCCCUCCCACGCUGAGAGAGGUCGGCGUGAGCCCCUUGCCUCACACCGGCCCCUCCCACGCUGAGAGAGGUCGGCGUGAGCCCCUUGCCUCACACCGGCCCCUCCCACGCUGAGAGAGGUCGGCGUGAGCCCUUGCCUCACACCGGCCCCUCCCACGCUGAGAGAGGUCAACGUGAGCCCCUUGCCUCACACCGGCCCCUCCCACGCUGAGAGAGGUCGGCAUGAGCCCUUGCCUCACACCGGCCCCUUCCACGCUGAGAGAGGUCAACAUGAGCCCCUUGCCUCACACCGGCCCCUCCCACGCUGAGAGAGGUCAACGUGAGCCCCUUGCCUCACACCGGCCCCUCCCACACUGAGAGAGGUCGGCGUGAGCCCUUGCCUCACACCGGCCCCUCCCACGCUGAGAGAGGUCGGCAUGAGCCCCUUGCCUCACACGGGCCCCUCUCACUCUGACAGAGGUCAGCCUGAGCCCUUGUCUCACACCGGCCCCUCCCACGCUGAGAGAGGUCGGCGUGAGCCCUUGCCUCACACCGGCCCCUCCCACGGUGAGAGAGGUCGGCGUCAGCCCCUUGCCUCACACCGGCCCCUCCCACGCUGAGAGAGGUCGGCGUGAGCCCUUGCCUCACACCGGCCCCUCCCACGCUGAGAGAGGUCAGCGUGAGCCCCUGCCUCAACAGGCCACCGUGAGGGAGGAGCAGGGUCGCACGCGGGCUGCUGUGAGGCAGGCAGCGACUUGGGCCUGGGAGGUCGUGGUGGGGUGAGAGCUGGGCUUGGAGACUCCCCUGGGAGGCAACAGCGGGGCCUACAGACUCUGUUCUCCAGCCAGAGCUGGGACUGUUCAGGUACUGGGAGGUGGGAUGUGGGUCUGAAGAGCUUGGUUGCAGAAACUUCGGGGUCUACAAACGCAGGCGGGAGCUGAGCCAAAAAAGCUUGUUUGCUGGGAGGCGGGAGAUGCAGCCAGGAGAAACAGCUGUGCCUGCAGAGGCCGCCAUGCGGGAGGCGGAGGCCGGGCCUCCUCAAAUCGGCCUCUCCAGACCCACUUGCAGCCUCCCGGCAUCCUCUCCGGGCCCAGCUCUUCCUCCCGGCUGCGUCUCCAGGCCUGAGUCUGGCCUCCCAACAACGUCUUUGGACUCAGCUCCUGCCCAGCUCCCAGCAGGCCCAAGUCGUCAUCAAGUCGGCCUGGAAUUGGGCCCGGAAGAGCAGCAAGUCGGCCUCCCCGGGCCCAGCUCCGUCCUCUCGGCGGCCUCUCCAGGUGCAAAACUUCCUCGAGUCAGCCUCUCCAGGCCCAGCUCCUCCUGCCUCCCAGUGGCCUCUUUCAGCCCAGACCAGCUCAUGGCUCUUGGCGGCCUUCCCAGGCCCCGCUUUUGACUUUUGGUGGCCUCUUCAGGCCCAGAACUUGACCUCCAGUGGGCCUUUGCAGGCCCGGCCUCCUGCCUCUCGAAGGCCUGCACGGGCCCAGACUCACAGCGGACUCACAGCGGACUCUCCAUGCCCAGCUAGCUCUCGCCUCAUUGCAGCCUCCCGAGUCCAAAGCUCCUGCCUCUCGGCUGCUUCGGCAGGCCCAGCUCCCGCCUGCCAGUGGACUGUUUAGGCCCAGCUCAUUCCUCACAACGGCCUUCCCAGGCCCCGUUUUUCCCUUCUGGCAGCCUCUUGGCCUCUAAUUUGUUUAUCUUUUGUGUAUAAAUCCCAAAAUAUUGAAUUUUGGAAUAUUUCCACCAUUAUGUAAAUAUUUUGGUAGGUGAUUUAUUUGGGGUGAGUUUCUGCACCAAGCCCGAAUUUUUUAUUUUAUUUUCCUUAUUAUUUGGUGUUAAACAGGUUUAAUGACGGUCAUGGCAACUGUUUGGCACAAUGAAAAAUAUCGCCCAUGA